GCCAGCUUUGGCAUAUACUAAAAUUGGAAUGAUACAGAGUAGAUUAGCAUGGACCCUGUACAAGGAUGACAUGCAAAUUUGUGAAGCAUUCCAUAUUUUU
rnacentral:snRNA from 1 species